rnacentral:tRNA from 1 species
GAGGGUAUAGCUGAGGGGUAGAGUGCAUGCGUGAGAUCCUGGGUUCAAUUCCCAGUACCUCCA